CAAACUGGGAUUAGAUACCCCACUAUGCCUAGCCUUAAACAUUGACAACUUACACUAUUUCAUCCGCCCGGGUACUACGAGCCGCAGCUUAAAACCCAAAGGACUUGGCGGUGCCCCAAACCCACCUAGAGGAGCCUGUUCUAUAAUCGAUACCCCCCGCUUAACCUCACCACCCCUCGCCAGCAGCCUAUAUACCACCGUCGCCAGCCCACCUCGUGAGAGGAAACAAGUAGGCAUAAUGGUAACCACCAAAACGUCAGGUCAAGGUGUAGCCUAUGGGGCGGAAAGCAAUGGGCUACACUUUCUACACAGAAAACUACGGAGGACUAUUAUGAAACCCAGUCUGAAGGCGGAUUUAGUAGUAAAAAGAUUCAAGAGUGUUCUUUUUAAUCUGGCCCUGGGGCGCGCACACACCGCCCGUCACCCUCCUCAACUAACUCAACCCCAUAAUUAAAAACUACCCAGUUAACAAGAAGAGGCAAGUCGUAACAUGGUAAGUAUACCGGAAGGUGUGCUUGGAACAA
rnacentral:rRNA from 1 species